rnacentral:rRNA from 1 species
GACGAACGCUGGCGGCGUGCUUAACACAUGCAAGUCGAACGCUGAAGCUCAGCUUUUGUUGGGUGGAUGAGUGGCGAGCGGGUGAGUAACACGUGAGUAACCUGCCCCCUUCUUUGGGAUAACGCCCGGAAACGGGUGCUAAUACUGGAUAUUCACUGGUCUUCGCAUGGGGGUUGGUGGAAAGGGUUUUUCUGGUGGGGGAUGGGCUCGCGGCCUAUCAGCUUGUUGGUGGGGUGAUGGCCUACCAAGGCUUUGACGGGUAGCCGGCCUGAGAGGGUGACCGGUCAGAUUGGGACUGAGAUACGGCCCAGACUCCUACGGGAGGCAGCAGUGGGGAAGAAGGCACAAUGGGCGCAAGCCUGAUGCAGCGGCGCCGCGUGAGGGAUGGAGGCCUUCGGGUUGUGAACCUCUUUCGCUCAUGGUCAAGCCGCAACAAUGGUUGUGGUGAGGGUAGUGGGUAAAGAAGCGCCGGCUAACUACGUG